rnacentral:rRNA from 1 species
UACGUAGGGACCGAGCGUUGUCCGGAAUCAUUGGGCGUAAAGAGCGUGUAGGCGGCCAUUUAAGUCCUGCGUGAAAUCCUGCGGCUCAACCGCAGGCGGUCGUGGGAAACUGGAUGGCUAGAGUGCGGGAGAGGAGAGUGGAAUUCCUGGUGUAACGGUGGAAUGCGCAGAUAUCAGGAAGAACACCCGUGGCGAAGGCGGCUCUCUGGAACGCAACUGACGCUGAGACGCGAAAGUGUGGGGAGCGAACAGG